rnacentral:rRNA from 1 species
UGGGGAAUCAUGGUCAAUGGGCGAAAGCCUGAACCUGCGACGCCGCGUGAGUGAUGAAGGUCGUAAGAUCGUAAAACUCUUUUCAGGGAUCUUAAAGCCUGUCUGUCAACAACAGGCAGGUCCGACUCUCCCUGGAAGAAGCCCCAGCCAACUACGUGCCAGCAGCUGCGGUAAUACGUAGGGGGGGGGCGUUAUUCGGAAUUACUGGGUGUAAAGGGUAUGUAGGCGGCCCUUCAAGUCGCGUGUCAAAGUCCAGUGCUCAACGCUGGGUGUGCACGCGAUACUGACGGGCUUGAGGGCUGGAGAGGUGAGCGGAAUUCCCGGUGUAGUGGUAAAAUACGUAGAGAUCGGGAGGAACACCAGCGGCGCAGGCGGCUCACUAGACAGUUUCUGACGCUAAGAUACGAAAGCGUGGGGAGCAAACA